rnacentral:rRNA from 1 species
GACGAACGCUGGCGGCGUGCCUAAUACAUGCAAGUCGAGCGGACGGACCCUAAGCUUGCUUCUCUGUUGUUUGCGGCGCACGGGAGUAUAACACGUGGAUAACCUACCUAUCAGACUGGUAUCACUUCGGAAAACCGGCUCUUAUACCGUAUGAUAUUUUGAUCCACAGUGUUCAAAAGUGAAAUACGGUCUUGCUGUCACUUAUAGAUGGAUCCGCGCUGCAUUAGCUAGUUGUUAAGGUAACGGCUUACCACGGCAACGAUGCAUAGCCGACCUGUGAGGGGGAUCGGCGACACGGGAGGGGAGACGCGGACCAGAGUACUACGGGAGGCAGCAGUAGGGAAUCUGACGCAAUGGGCGAGAGCCUGACGGAGCGGGGCGGCGUGAGUGAUGAAGGUCUUCGGAUCGUAAAACUCUGUUAUUAGGGAAGAACAUAUGUGUAAGUAACUGUGCACAUCGUGACGGUAACUGGUCAGAAAGCAACGGCUAACUACGUG